AUGGAUCGCAGGAGGUGGCGGCGGAUUCUUGACAGGCUCAUUGAGCCAAUUCACAGAUCCGUGAGUACCUGCUCUUUUCCCCAUAUUCUUGGUGAUGGGAAGGGAACAACAAGAAGCCACGUCUUUCACUCUGGCAAGGAGGGUGCAGAAUCAGGCGAGAAAUGGUUGCUCUCGGUCAUACACGGCGGCGCUAGUGGUAGUGGUGGAUCAUUUGCAUCCAUCAUCGACCUUGGUGACCCAAGAAAGGAAGAUUCCGAUUAUAGUUGGGAAGUGAAGUUUGUCAUUCUUUUGUUUUCUAGAUACAAGAUGGUGCUUGAUCGAGAUGGUUGGGUGUUACAGCUGCUGGAGAAUCGUCGGCUGUUUCUCAUUGACGGCGGUGGUCGCAAGUUAUGA
rnacentral:rRNA from 1 species